UGCUAUACAUUCCAUAUCAUGCUUUUCAUUCCUUACUCAGUAUUGUGAUAUAUACUGUGUAGUGUUUAAUCAUAAGAAAAAAAUCAAGUUUAUACUACUUAUAUAUUACCUCAUGUUUUUUUUAAAGAUAGUUUUUAUUUGGAACGAAGUGAUAGUGUAUAAUAAUAUUCUGUUCCUCUGUACAUGUUAACAAUAUCAAAUCUUGUACAGUUUAUGAGCAAUGGACAGGGACUAGUGUUGGAGAUUUAAGAACUGAUUCUUCUCCUGUGCCUUUCAAACUAUCUUUCAUAAUGAUCAAUUUUUUUUUUAAGAUUUCAAGUUUGCUUGAUUUGUUUUUGUUAUUGCAUUUUCAAAUGAUGAUUAAAAUAUUAAAUCUGCC
rnacentral:misc_RNA from 1 species